CUCGUAGGCGGUUCGUCGCGUCCGGUGUGAAAGUCCAUCGCUUAACGGUGGAUCCGCGCCGGGUACGGGCGGGCUUGAGUGCGGUAGGGGAGACUGGAAUUUCCGGUGUAACGGUGGAAUGUGUAGAUAUCGGGAAGAACACCAAUGGCGAAGGCAGGUCUCUGGGCCGUUACUGACGCUGAGGAGCGAAAGCGUGGGGAGCGAACA
rnacentral:rRNA from 1 species